GAACGAACGCUGGCGGCAGGCCUAACACAUGCAAGUCGAACGCCGUAGACAAUACGGAGUGGCAGACGGGUGCGUAACACGUGGGAACAUACCCUUUGGUUCGGAAUAACUCAGGGAAACUUGAGCUAAUACCGGAUAAGUCCGCGAGGAGAAAGAUUCAUCGCCGAAAGGAUUUGGCCCGCGUCUGAUUAGCUAGUUGGUGAGGUAACGGCUCACCAAGGCGACGAUCAGUAGCUGGCUGAGAGGAUGAUCAGCCACACUGGGACUGAGACACGGCCCAGACUCCUACGGGAGGCAGCAGUGGGGAAUAUUGGACAAUGGGCGCAAGCCUGAAUCCAGCCAUGCCGCGUGAGUGAUGAAGGCCUUAGGGUUGU
rnacentral:rRNA from 1 species